GACGAACGCUGGCGGCGUGCUUAACACAUGCAAGUCGAACGGGAUGUCGUAGACAGUAGCCUCGGCUAAAGAGGACUAAUGAGAGUGGCGAACUGAUGAGUAACGCGUGAGCAACCUGCCAAUGACAGUGGGAUAGCCCCAGGAAACCGGGAUUAAUACCGCAUAAAAUCGUAGGAAGAAAUGUUUUAACGGUCAAAGAUUGAUCGGUCAUAGAUGGGCUCGCGUCUGAUUGGCUAGUUGGUGAGAUAACAGCCCACCAAGGCGGCGUUCAGUAGCCGGUCUGAGAGGAUGACCGGUCACAAUGGAGCUGCGACACGGUCCACACUGCUACGGGAGGCAGCAGUAGGGUAUACUGCACGAUGGGGCAAAACCUAAUGCCGCGGCGCCGGGUAAACGAAGAAGGUAUUCGUAUCGUAAAGUUCUGUCCUAUGGGAAGAUAAUGACAGUACCAGAGAAGAAAGCACCGGCUAAAUACGUG
rnacentral:rRNA from 1 species